rnacentral:rRNA from 1 species
CCUACGGGAGACAGCAGUGAGGAAUAUUGGUCAAUGGCCGGAAGGCUGAACCAGCCAAGCCGCGUGAAGGACGAAGGUGCCAAGCGUUGUAAACUUCUUUUGUCAAGGGACAAAAUCAGGCUCGAGAGCCUGACCGAGGGUACUUGAAGAAAAAGCAUCGGCUAACUCCGUGCCAGCAGCCGCGGUAAUACGGAGGAUGCGAGCGUUAUCCGGAUUUAUUGGGUUUAAAGGGUGCGUAGGGGGGCUGUUAAGUCAGGGGUAAAAGCCCAGGGCUCAACCCCGGUGGGCCGGUGAAACUGGCGGUCAUGAGAUGAGGAGAGGUGGGCGGAAGGCGCAGUGUAGCGGUGAAAGGCUGAGAGAUGGCGAAGAACUCCGAUUGCGAAGGCAGCACACCGGAGGGGAUCUGACGCGGAGGCACGAAAGUGUGGGUAUCGAACAGGAUGAGAUACCCCAGUAGUC